GGCAGUGUUGCCUAGUGGAUAGAGCAGCUCACUGGGGUUCAGGAGAUCUGGGUUCCAUUCCCAGCUCUGCUG
rnacentral:tRNA from 1 species